rnacentral:rRNA from 1 species
GAUUAAGUUAUUAAGGGCGCACGGUGGAUGCCUUGGCACUAGAAGCCGAUGAAGGACGUUACUAACGACGAUAUGCUUUGGGGAGCUGUAAGUAAGCUUUGAUCCAGAGCUUUCCGAAUGGGGAAACCCAGCAUGAGUUAUGUCAUGUUAUCGAUAUGUGAAUACAUAGCAUAUCAGAAGGCACACCCGGAGAACUGAAACAUCUUAGUACCCGGAGGAAGAGAAAGAAAAUUCGAUUCCCUUAGUAGCGGCGAGC